rnacentral:lncRNA from 1 species
AUACAAUCAAGUUCAAGGCUCCAAAGCCCAUAAUUACAAAAUUUCUAAGAACAAUCUAAGCAAGGCUAAGGGCCCAAAACAUACAAGAUUCUCCAGCUUCUUCAAAAAGUAGUCGCUUCAGUCCUAAGCUGCAGCCCAUACCUCCGACUUGUAACAUGUUGCUUUCAAUCUACAGGGAGAAAAUGUAGUGGAAUGAGCUUUGAAGCUCAAUAAGCAGAUCUAGUGUUAUACAUGGCUAUUAAACAUACUCAGGUGCAAGAAAUAGUGUCAUUAAUCAUCAUUUAUAAUAGCGCAGUAGUCGAGCAUAUUGGUUAUCAAAUCAAUGCAGCCGUUAUAACAAGAUAUCUAAUAUAAAAGUGCAUCAAAC